GACGAACGCUGGCGGCGUGCUUAACACAUGCAAGUCGUGCGGUAAGGCCCUUUCGGGGGUACACGAGCGGCGAACGGGUGGGUAACACGUGAGCAACCUGCCCUUCACUUUGGGAUAACUGCCGGAAACGGUGGCGAAUACCGGAUAUGACUUCCCCACGCAUGUGGGGUGGUGGAAAGCCUUCGGGGGGUGGGGGGUGGGCUCGCGGGCUAUCAGCUUGUUGGUGGGGUGAUGGCCUACCAAGGCUUCGACGGGUAGCCGGCCUGAGAGGGGGACCGGCCACACUGGGACUGAGACACGGCCCAGACUCCUACGGGAGGCAGCAGUGGGGAAUAUUGGACAAUGGGCGAAAGCCUGAUCCAGCAACGCCGCGUGAGGGAUGACGGCCUUCGGGUUGUAAACCUCUUUCGCCUGCGACGAAGCGAGAGUGACGGUAGCAGGUAAAGAAGCACCGGCCAACUACGUG
rnacentral:rRNA from 1 species